rnacentral:rRNA from 1 species
UAGGGAAUCUUCGGCAAUGGGGGCAACCCUGACCGAGCAACGCCGCGUGAGUGAAGAAGGUUUUCGGAUCGUAAAGCUCUGUUGUUGGUGAAGAAGGAUAGAGGCAGUAACUGGUCUUUAUUUGACGGUAAUCAACCAGAAAGUCACGGCUAACUACGUGCCAG